UCAUUGGUACUGGUAAAUAUGCAGAAAAGUGAAAAUUUCACGAAAAAAAUUAACAGCUGCACCUUCUGCUCCAAAACACAAGCCCAGAAGCAUGCAGCCGGCGAGUCCACCUUCUGCUCCCUCGGUGGUUCACUACCGCCCGGAUUACAGCCAUGCCUUGGCCGUCCAGUGCAAUUCUUCUAUGAAAACAAACUAAAUGAUCACAGUAAGGAACAUUACUUGAUCGAGCCUCCUAUGUUAUAUCUAAGAUGUGGAAUGAUGAUUUGGUAAUACUCCGUGGGGAUUUCAACAAUAAACUUAAGGAAGUUUACUUCGUCCCGCACUAUUGCCAUCGUCUCGCAGUAAUGCGGUAUGAGCGAGGGUAGAAGCCGGUGCAGUUCAGACUGUAGUUCACUGUGCACCUACGCUUCUCCAGGUUAUACCUCAAAAACAUGAUCACGAAUGUCUGGAUGCGUGCUUUGCGCUGCCAUGGGAUGUUCGCCUAGUUCAAACAUGAAAAUUCUUCAUGUUUAUUCCGUCCACGUGAGCAUGUUUUUAUCCAUGCUUGCUUCCUAGCAAACUUAUUCUGAUUGAAGUUCUUUGGUUUGUGUUUGCUGGUAUUAUAAUGUUUUUUCUCUGUACAAAACAUAGAAGUUCAUUUAAGUGGACAUAGGCUAAUGGAGACAAGCUAGAUGGAGAAGGUUCCACGGCCACUUGCACCUCCUUCCACAAGAUGGAGAACGGUGCCUUGAUCCAGCCAACAAACCUCUCCUAUGUCGAAGGACUACUCCUCUGGGAUGGUAAAAUACCUUCACAUUUUGCACACUUGAUUCAAUGAAUAUAGACAUUUUUUCAUUUGAGUUGGCUCUCUGCAAUAUGUAUCACUCACAUCUGGAUGAGCCACCUUUUCAUGCGUCCAUCAACUACCUGAUUGAUGUAGUGUCAUCUCAUAUGCAUGAAAUA